ensembl:lncRNA
ACUAAACAUGGCUGUGUUUUUGCCCCUUACUUUCUAAGAUUUUUCAUUAAAAAAAAAAAAAGAGUUGUUUUGUUUCAUUUUCAUCCUUGUUUGCUGUUUUGUUUUCCCAUGGCAAAUAUCCAGGCUCUGUGGACACAGACUUUAUGCUGCUUGAGGGAGGAGAUGUGAAAAUGAUACCGUCCUUCAGAGAAUCAUAAUACAGUCGAUCAGUAAGAAGGCUCCGCAGUCACCAGUUUUUCCUACCUCCAAGUUAGACUUGAGCUGCAAGCCAGGUGACCUCAUGUGCUUCUCCUAUUUGCCAAGCUGAAAGGAAGACGUCAGGCUUAGGUCUGCUACUGGAAGCCAUCUUCAGUGUAAAGAAAGAUAAAGAAUUUUGCAAAACAAUCAUCAAAAAUUCUGAAAUUUAUUUGCCACGCAAAACUAUUUGCAGAACAUCAGUACUGUUUUCUUGUUGUUUUUUUUUUUUAAUUAUAUUUGACAAAUAAUAAAUUAUACAGACUCCUUAAUCCAAGUCAAUAUUCACUAGGAAAAUACUUACAUAAUCUUCAUAGUCAUGUUCUUCAAAAAACUGAAGCAAGUGCAUACGGCUCAGUUGCAUAUGGGACCUUACUUAGAGCUGGACUGGGUGACCCACUGGGGUCCUUUCCUACCUGAAUUACACUGCCAUCCUAAAAAUCACUGUUUACUGUGCUUCUGAUGGACACAGACCAUAAAUUCCUGAUGCUAAAUAUCAAAGCCACUUGUGUAACCACCGUCUCCAGAACAGACUGAUCCCAAGAGAUUUGCUCAUGAUGGAGAUGCACAACACUUCUUCUUGGGAAAUAGAUUUAGAUGUAUUGCUGCUUCUGAAAUACUGGACCUUCUAUUCUUGGCUGUCACCGCAGGGAUUUGGGAUUUCUGUCUUGGUCAUGAGGGUACGUGACUUGGGGCAUGGGAGAGUGCAGGUUUGGGAGGGUGACCAAGCCAGACCCAUCCUACUCCAACACAGAAUUACCUCUCCAUUCUGUAGGGACUCACCCUCAGAUCUUCUACAUUGUUUCUACAAGGCCACGUUAAUUAAAGGAGAGGGGAACAAAAAGACCAAGAUCUGGGACAGAGGUUUUAAAGGGAAGUUUAUUCAGGUUUCUCCAUCCCACAAAAUGCAAACAGUGAAAGGAACAACCUAAAAACUGCAUGUCAGAAAACAAAGAAGGGAAAGGGACGGAUGUGCUUAGAAUGGAAAACACAGUCUUUAACUGCAUAUAUGAUUAUUUCUUGUCCAAUAUUUGUAUUUUUGUGUGCGUGGUGCUUUCCUCUGUAAACACUGCAGUUAGCAUAGGUUUAGCCAAACCCAAGUCAGGCAUCUCUUCAUCCCUAGCAGCAAUAUACUGUGAAAUUAAAAGGCUGAUUAAUGAAGUUGCCAUUCCGAUAGGCAGCUCUUACUGCUCUUCCAUAAUUCAAAGGGUGAGUCGAGAUACAGGUGUCGAUAGCUUAAAUGUAUGCUGACAUGCCUGGUGCUAAAGCGAUGGUAGAAGGGGAUGUUUGUAAAUGAUGGAAACAUUAUUUCAGCAAAGGAGCUCUUCAGAGCUGAAAACACAGAACCACAGCUAGCUGGUAAACAUCGGUGUUAAAUGCAGUGGGAAUCAGAGUAGCUGCAACUCAAGGUCUGAGCAGACUUCACACUGUUAGUGUGGGCUGGGGGAAAGAGAGUUUGCACACAGUGCUAGGUGACCCCAGAUGCUGGUGCUCACAUUUGUAAGCUGCCCUGCAACACUGGCCUCUGCCAGGGGCAAAGAAAGCUACAGAGCAGAGAGCCUUCUUUUUAAUGCAGUUUUCCUUGCUUAUUCAUUUUCUUUGCAUUUAACCCUAACAGAGAUUUACUUUGACAAUUGGGAGAAGGGAGGUAAGCGCAAGCAGGUGCAUGAGGCUUAGAUGCAGCUUGGAUAUGAUAACAACAACAACAACAACAACAACAACAAAAUAAACUAACUGAAAAAAAAAAAGGAAAAAAAAGCAGAAUAGCAAAUGUUAUAGUGUUAGGUUGAAUCUCCUUAAUGUAGCUCUUGCACAAAUCUGAAGCUAAGAGUAUUAGGUUCCUGAAUGUGACUGUGAUGUGAGACCUAACUAUGAAAUAAGUUUAUAUCAUAGAAUCACAGAAUCAUUGAAUAGCCUGGGUUGAAAAGGACCAUAAUGAUCAUUGAGUUUCAAGCCCCCUACUAUGUGCAGGGUCGCCGAUCACUAGACCAGGCUCCCCAGAGCCACAUCCAACCUGGGAUAUAUAUUUGAAAUAUAUAUUUGAAAUGAUUGCCCAUAAUCCAUAAGUACUGUCUCUCACCAGUCAGUAAUUAAUAAUUAAAAAAAAAAAAAAGAAUAAACAGAUAUUUAACAUUUUAAUACACCCGUAAUGCGACCUCAGAUAUUUCAACAGACAGAGGUAUUCAUGGGUGGCUGAUGUUAACUGGUUGAAAAAUGCCUGGAGUGAACCAAAAUGUGUAAACUGAGAACAAAUUUUUUUUUUAAUUGUCUAUUUAUUUAUUUAUUCUGUCUUUCUGACUAUUUUUCUCUUCAGCGGAAUGUCCUUCUUUCACAGCUUUCCCUUUGUUAGAUCCAGUGAGAUCCACCACUCUUGAAUCACUCUGCAGGUUUCCCUGAAUGUGCUUUCAAGACUCCACACAUUUCAAAAUGUUCAUCUGGAGGAAAUGAAAACCCUAGCUAUCCAAACAACAGUAAAAGCAAUGGAAUCAAAUUUAUGUAAGAGUGGUAGAAAGAAAAAAGAAGGAAGAAGGUCCUCUAGGAGGUCACAGAUUGAUCCUAACAUGCUUACGGCAACUUCUGGUUAAUAAGAGCACACCCUGCUCCGGUAUAAACAAUCAUAAUGGUGAGUUCAGGAAAUCUGCAUCCUUUUCUACAGUGAGAAAUUUUCUUCCCAGUCCAUGGCUGAUAAUACGUGGAGAUGACAAUAUGGGCUGCAUGGUGGGGCUGCAAAGGUGGUAAUGAACAAGGACGUUGUCUUCAACUCCUAGACGUUCCCAGAAAAUAGCAAGAGUCAGGAUGGAGUUCAUCAUGCUUUCUUCCUUGUUCAUUCCCUCCCACUGCCCCUCACCCAAAUUCAGCAUGGCCAGCUAGGAAGGUUAGCCCAAGCAUAUUUACUCAGAUAGGAUGCAGAUUUAGCCACCUUGUAGUAUAUGGAAAGUAUAUAUAAAGGUCUUCUAUUAGUGUCCAAAAACAGUGCCACAGAAUAAAACCAGGAAGAGGAAAUUCUUACAUAAAAUAUCAGACAUUUCUGACUGUCCAGCUCUGCUGGAGUCAUGCUGGAGUCACCAAAGAUGUUUAGGAUGAGUCUUAUUCACCUGCACAAUAACAAGAACUCACAGGUUCAUAGAAUCACAGAAUGGCUUAGGUUGGAAGGGACACUAAAGAUCACUGAGUACAGCCACUUGCUGUGGGAAGGGCUGCCCCUUACCAGCUCAGACUGCCCAGGGUCCCAACCAAUCUGGCCUCUAGUGCCUCCAGAGAUAGGAUACCCACAGCUUCUCUGGGCAGCCUGUUAGGAUUUCUUCCUAACAUCUAACCUAAAUUUCUCCUCUUUUAGUUCAAAGCAAUUCCCCUUUGUCUUGUCACUAUCUGCUCUUGUAAAAUGUUGAUCUCACUCCUUCUCAUGAUCUCCCUUCAAGUACUGGAAAGCUGCAAUGAGAUCUCCCCAGGCUCUUCUUUUCUCCAUGCUAAACAAGCCCAACUACCUCAGCCUGUCCUCGUAGGAGAGGUGCUCCAGCCCACUGAUGAUCUCCAUGGCCCUCCUCUGGACCAGACCCAUUCCAAAGUCUUUCUUGUACUGGGGCCCCAAGUGACUGCCUGUAAACUUCAUAGUUUACUAGGAGUUGUUAUAACACAAUUUCAUACUGGCAACAAUAUGCAUGACAGUGGACCAUGAUGUUCUUUGAUAAUAUUCCACAGUUUGAAAACAAAUCUUUCUGGUUAUUAUGAUAAAUGCACAUAGGUCACUCUGAAAGCAAUGUCUCCUAUCUAUUUCCAUGGAAACUACAACAGCUACAAAGAGCACGUUAAAAUAUUUGACAGAGCAAAUUCUCAGCUAAGAAACACUAGUUUUCAGCAGUCACCACCACUGUCUAUGCAUUUGCACCAGAACAAGAGUUGAAUGCCACACUUGUAAAAAUUUGCACCAGUGGAAAUGACCCACUGUCUCUAUUGCCACUAAUGAAAUGCAUCACUCACCACCUCACUGUGCUCUCACCCACUGUUUGGUCUCCAAAAAUGUUCAGCAAGCAUUCAAAAAUGUCAAUUGCUGCCAUUUUUUCCACAUGGAGGAAUUAAAUGACACACCUUUGCUUUACCCACACUUCCAUGCCAGGCACCAUUUUGCCAGGCUGCCCCUCUGCUGCCAUCUAUUGCAUGGCAACAAAAUAUAAUGGGAUGUUGGUGGGAAGGUUCAACCUCUACUGCCAUACAACUAACAUCUGCCUCUGAUGUCAAGGGACAACAUCAUAAAAUAGGAGGCGUGACUUUCGGAGCUGCCCCCAUAGAUGUACCUAUUGCCUUUUACUAGACUGAAUGAGACCCGGUCAUGUAGGUAUCACAGUCUCUAUACUUUAUCUGCAUCUGCAUUAUUUGUGCACAGAAUACUAUUUGUACAUAGGCAUAUAAAAAAAAUUGCAUUUCCGUAUCUUUACAUUUCAGUGUCUCUGAAUGUAGAAAGAACAUAAAAAGAGCUUACAGGCUAUGUGCUAUUACCUUAUAGCUUGAGCAUACCUAAAAAGGCUUAUUCUGUAUUUUUAAAUAGCAGCUGUCUCACAGUCUAUGUGGCUUUAUCUACCAACAACUUGUGCUGUCAGGUACCACUGAAAGAAUAUCAGGUUUAGUUAUGCCUUCUCUUCCUACAACGAUGGUUUACCAUAAGAAAAGUAUUAAAGGUGUACAGUUCAUUUAAUCAGCGAUUUUGCAAGUGUUUUACUUAUGUCAACAAAGAACAAAUUGUUCAUAGCUUCUGGUAUCUGAAAGGCACUAUGCAGCAUAAAUUAUUCAAAUCAAAGCAACAUAAAUCUUCGUACAGCAAAGGUGAAGCCUCAGAAUUCCUGGCUGUGUGUUACAGCUUUGGGUAGGACAAUGACCUCUAAUCAGAACUCUUCAAUACAGUCCUUACACUGAAGAUGCCAACUUGCCACUAAGGACCUGAUUAUCUAUAAAUUUAUGGGAACCUGCAAUAACUGGUGUUUGCCUCCUGAUAAUGUUUUCUGACACAUAUCAGGAGAUUCAGCUGAUCUGUGUUAGAGAUUAUUGUACAGAAUCUGCAGUUUAUACAGGCAAUGAGUAGACAGAAGGUCCAUUUGAGACCUUUAGCUAUAGAGAAGCACAUAAGGAAAACUGUUUCCAUAGAAACAUGCCCCACAGCUGUAGUUAGUAUAGGAAAAAUAGUUUUAUGAUUAUUUCAAUGAAGUUCUACCUUUUGUUUUCAAUGCAAAAUGUAUACAAUAGGUUGCUUCACAGCAUGAUCUCAGUGUAGCUGAGGUCUUACAUGUGAAAUCCACCCCAAUGUGAAAGAACCCCGCGUUUCCCUCAUGUGUUCCUAAGAGCUUUAUUAGAUCUUGUGCAUAGUGUCUCUGACAGAAUGAUUUUUCCAUAAAAUAAAAUUGCUUUUCAGUAUUUAUUCUCUGUAUAAUAAAUGUUUACUUUUAUAUCAAUUCA